rnacentral:rRNA from 1 species
AGCAGCCGCGGUAAUUCCAGCUCCAAUAGCGUAUAUUAAAGUUGUUGCGGUUAAAAAGCUCGUAGUUGAAUUUCGGGAUUCGUCGGUUGGUCGGGCUUCACUGUCCGCACUGACCUGACGGAUUCCUACCUUCUGAAUAACCAGCAUGCUAUUAAGUUAGUGCGUUGGGGAAGCAGAGCUAUUACCUUGAAAAAAUUAGAGUGCUUAAAGCAGGCUUGUGCUUGAAUAGAUUAGCAUGGAAUAAUAAAAUAGGACGGCAUGGUUCUAUUUUGUUGGUUUCUAGGAUCACCGUAAUGAUUAAUAGGGAUAGUUGGGGGCAUUAGUAUUCAAUUGUCAGAGGUGAAAUUCUUGGAUUUAUUGAAGACUAACUUCUGCGAAAGCAUUUGCCAAGGAUGUUUUCAUUAAUCAAGAACGAAAGUUAGGGGAUCGAAGACGAUCAGAUACCGUCGUAGUCUUAACCAUAAACUAUGCCGACUAGGGAUCGGACGAUGUUAAUUUUUUAAUGACUCG